UACGGAGGGUGCAAGCGUUAUCCGGAUUCACUGGGUUUAAAGGGUGCGUAGGUGGGUUUGUAAGUCAGUGGUGAAAUCUCCGUGCUUAACAUGGAAACUGCCAUUGAUACUAUAGAUCUUGAAUUUUCUGGAGGAUAGCGGAAUAUGUCAUGUAGCGGUGAAAUGCUUAGAUAUGACAUAGAACACCAAUUGCGAAGGCAGCUAUCUAACAGGGAUAUUGACACUGAGGCACGAAAGCGUGGGGAUCAAACAGG
rnacentral:rRNA from 1 species